AGUCUGCAACUCGAGUGCAUGAAGCUGGAAUCGCUAGUAAUCGCGGAUCAGAAUGCCGCGGUGAAUACGUUCCCGGGUCUUGUACACACCGCCCGUCACACCAUGGGAGUCGGGAAUGCCCGAAGCCGGUGGCCCGAUCGAAAGAAGGGAGCCGUCGAAGGCAGGCCGGAUGACUGGGGUGAAGUCGUAACAAGGUAAC
rnacentral:rRNA from 1 species